AUGAAGCCCCCCGGAGCCGGAGCCCUCUCGCCUCGCCACCUCCUGCCCCUCCUCCUCCUCCUGCUCUACCACCUCGCCGCCGCCGGCACCGCAGCAACCGACGCCGACGCGCUGCUGGCACUAAAAUCCUCCCUCGACGCAUCCAACCGCCUCCCGUGGCACCCCUCCACGGCCCGCACCCUCUGCACCGCCUGGCCGGGCGUGCGCCAGUGCGACCCCGCCGGCCGCGUCACCAAGCUGGUCCUCGAGAACCUCAACCUCACGGGCCCGCUCACCGCCGCCCUCCUCGCGCCGCUCGGCGAACUCCGCGUCCUCAGCCUCAAGGCCAACGCGCUCUCCGGCCCCGUCCCCGACGGGCUCGCCGCCGCGCUCCCCAACCUCAAGCUGCUCUACCUCGCCGGCAACCGCCUCUCCGGCCCGCUCCCCGCCAGCCUCGCGCUGCUCCACCGCGCCACCGUGCUCGUGCUCUCCGGCAACCGCCUCUCCGGCCGGAUCCCGCGCGAGCUCGCCCGGGUGCCGAGGCUCACCUCGCUGCUGCUCGACGGGAACCUGCUGACGGGGCCGGUGCCCGCGCUGCCGCAGAGCACGCUCCGGGCGCUCGACGUCUCCGGCAACCGGCUGUCGGGCCAGAUCCCCGGCGUCCUCGCGAGGCGGUUCAACGCGUCGGCGUUCGCGGGCAAUGCCGGGCUCUGCGGGGCGCCGCUCGCCGUGCCCUGCGUCGCGGCGGCGGCCGCUCCCGGGCCGAUGUCGCUCUCCCCCGCCACCGCCGCGUUCGCGCCGCUCCCUCCCCCCGGCGGGUCCGGUGGCAGCAGCGGCCGCCGCAGGAAGACCGCGAUAAUCGCCGGCUCGACGGUGGCGGGCGCGGUGGUGCUGGCCCUGCUGGUCGCGGCGGCGGUGACCGCGUCUCGGCGCGGGCGCGGGCGCAACAAGCGCGUGGCCGGCGACGUGGACAAGGGCGGGCUUGGCACGCCAGAGGAGCAGGCGGAGGAGGACCACCAGCAGCAGCACCGGUCGGCCAACGCAGCACUGCCGCCAGCGACGAACUCAGCGGCGGCGGCGGUGGGCGGUCGGGAGUUCUCGUGGGAGCGGGAGGGGAUUGGGAGGCUGGUGUUCUGCAGGGGCGCGGCGGAGGCGUACAGCCUGGAGGAGCUGCUGCGGGCGUCGGCGGAGACGCUGGGGCGCGGGGAGGCCGGGAGCACGUACAAGGCGGUGAUGGAGACGGGGUUCAUCGUGACGGUGAAGCGGAUGCGGUGCGGCGACGCGGGGGGCGCCGGCGGGGUGGGCGGCGGGGCUCUGGAGUUCGGGCGGCGGGCGGAGGAGCUGGGCAGCGUGCGGCACCCGAACGUGGUGGCGCUGCGGGCAUACUUCCAGGCCAAGGAGGAGCGGCUGCUGGUGUACGACUACUACCCCAACGGCAGCCUCUUCUCCCUCGUCCACGGGUCUCGGCCGUCGAGCAAGGGCAAGCCGCUGCACUGGACCUCCUGCAUGAAGAUCGCUGAAGACAUCGCCGCCGGCCUGCUCCACCUGCACCAACAAUCACUUGUGCACGGCAACCUCAAGCCUUCCAACGUCCUCCUCGGCCCCGACUUCGAGUCCUGCCUCACCGACUACGGCCUCGUCCCCGCCCUCCACGCCGCCGGCGGCGACGCAUCCUCCGCCUCCCUCCUCUACCGCGCCCCGGAGACCCGCUCCUCCUCGUCCUUCACGGCGGCGUCCGAUGUGUACAGCUUCGGCGUGCUCCUGCUGGAGCUGCUUACGGGCCGGGCGCCGUUCCCGGACCUCCUGGACCAGCGCGGUGGUGCCGACGAGGUGACCGCCUGGGUGCGCGCCGCGCGCGAGGAGGAGAUGUCCACGGAGUCGGGCGGCGAGUCGGCCGCGUCCGGCGCCGCCGGCCCUGCCGAAGAGAAGCUGGGCGCGUUGGUUGGCGUGGCGGCUUCGUGCGUGGCCGCGGACCCCGGCGCGCGGCCGGCCACGGCCGAGGCGCUGCGGAUGGUGCGGGAGGCGCGCGCAGAGGCCAUGUCAUCGUCCAACAGCAGCGACCGCUCGCCCGCGCGCUGGUCCGACGCCGUCAUCGUCGGCGCGCCGGGGCCGCCGACGGACUGA
rnacentral:rRNA from 1 species